UACGGGGGGGGCAAGCGUUGUUCGGAAUUACUGGGCGUAAAGGGCCAGUAGGCGGCCAACUAAGUCGGAUGUGAAAUCCCCAGGCUCAACUUGGGAACUGCAUCCGAUACUGGAUGGCUUGAAUUCGGGAGAGGGAUGCAGAAUUCCAGGUGUAGCGGUGAAAUGCGUAGAUAUUGGGAGGAACACCGGUGGCGAAGGCGGCCCCCUGGACCGGUACUGACGCUGAGGCGCGAAAGCGUGGGUAGCAAACAGG
rnacentral:rRNA from 1 species